UACGUAGGGUGCGAGCGUUGUCCGGAAUUAUUGGGCGUAAAGAGCUCGUAGGCGGUGUGUCGCGUCGGCCGUGAAAACCUGGGGCUUAACUCUGGGCGUGCGGUCGAUACGGGCAUCACUAGAGUUCGGCAGGGGAGACUGGAAUUCCUGGUGUAGCGGUGAAAUGCGCAGAUAUCAGGAGGAACACCGGUGGCGAAGGCGGGUCUCUGGGCCGAUACUGACGCUGAGGCGCGAAAGCGUGGGGAGCAAACAGG
rnacentral:rRNA from 1 species